UUAGCUCAUAUUUGUAUGGUAUGGGAUCGUUUGCCUAAAUUUGCCGUUAGGGGCGCUGUUCCAACUGCAUACAAAAUUGGGCUA
rnacentral:pre_miRNA from 1 species